GGAGGGGUGACCGAGCGGUCGAAGGUGCACGAUUGGAAAUCGUGUGUGCGGCAACGUACCGAGGGUUCGAAUCCCUCCUCCUCCGCCC
rnacentral:tRNA from 1 species